rnacentral:rRNA from 1 species
GGGUGAAACCUGCGGAAGGAUCAUUACAGAAAUAGGGAGAAGGUUGCUUAACUGCAAUCCUUUUCUUUCUACACAUGUGUUUUUCUUUUUUUUGAAAACUUUGCUUUGGUGGGCCCACGGCCUGCCAGAGAUUAAACUCAACCAAAUUUUUAUUUAAUUGUCAACUUGAUUAACUAAUAGUCAAAACUUUCAACAGCGGAUCUCUUGGUUCUCGCAUCGAUGAAGAACGCAGCGAAAUGCGAUAAGUAAUAUGAAUUGCAGAUAUUCGUGAAUCAUCGAAUCUUUGAACGCACAUUGCGCCCUUUGGUAUUCCAAAGGGCAUGCCUGUUUGAGCGUCAUUUCUCCCUCAAACCUUCGGGUUUGGUGUUGAGCGAUACGCUGGGUUUGCUUGAAAGAAAGGCGGAGUAUAAACUAACGGAUAGGUUUUUUUUUUUCCACUCAUUGGUACGAGCUCCAAACAUUCCUCCAAAUUCGACCUCAAAUCAGGUAGGACUACCCGCUGAACUUAAGCAUAUCAAUAAGCGGAGGA